rnacentral:lncRNA from 1 species
GAACAAAUUAAAAUUAUAUUGAUAUGAUUUAUUUUUAUUAUUUUAUAUUUUCAUUCAACUAAUAUAUUUAUGGUACAUCAGUUUGAACAAAAAUUCAUCAACCUUAGAUUCUUAUUAAUUAUUUUUUUUAUCGCGAUCAAGGGGGUAUUAAGGUCAUUGAAGGUGUACCAUAGGAGAAAGAGUUAGUUUUGAAAUUAUUAAACAGGUUAUACUUAGAGAAGGGAUUGCGAGAGAAUUGUUGAGGGGUAUCAAUAUCACCACUCAAAACUUUAUUAAAAUCUUUUAUCCUUUUUUUAUAGUUUUUAUUAGAGAAAAUUUUAUAAAUUUAAUAAACGGGAUUUCAAAAGAAAUUUAAAGGGGUGGUCGAAAUUCGGGUUUGACGGGAGUGUUAAAAGUGGUGUUAAAGGCUCAACCCCAUAAGACAACGAUCAUCACAAAAUUUACUUCAAAUUAGCUCUUCAUCCCCUUUAUCUUCUGAUGGAUGUCCUUCGAGUUUCCGAUGGUAUGCUUCCUAAUUUUCUGAGUUGGAUUAAAAAGAAAACGUAUACUUCGUUAUCGGCAAGACAAUAUUGUAGACUUUGACCCCCUUGUGUUAAUUUGUUAAAGGAUGCUCUUUUGGAUCCUUUUAUGAAGUUUGAUUCCGGAUGUUCUUUUGAAUCAAAUACACUAAUAACAAUCAUAAAAUAAGCAAUUGUCCAACAUAAUUUAGAAUUGGAAUUUUCAAAUUAGUUAUUUGUUGAAAAUCCAUCACCAUACAAAUGAGAAACUAAAAUAAGGCCAGUUUGGUUUUAUUUUAGGAAAUUUACAACCGCCCACCUAUUUGUUUUGCCUUUUUUAAAAAUACACAAACACCUUUUUUUUUAGCGCGUCACUUGAAGUUUACUUUUUGUUGCAUUCGUUCACUUCCGUUUAAUUUUCGUUAGUAAAUUUAACGGAAUGACCUUUUUACCCCUCAAAAUUAUAAUUUAACC